GGAAGGUUGGGUGAGUGGCUGAAACCAACAGUUUGCUAAACUGUCGAACGGGAAACUGUUCCGGGGGUUCGAAUCCCCCACCUUCCGCCA
rnacentral:tRNA from 1 species